rnacentral:tRNA from 1 species
GUCAGGAUGGCCGAGUGGUCUAAGGCGCCAGACUCAAGGCUCUAUCUUCCCCUCAACUGGGUGUUCUGGUCUCCGUAUAGAGGCGUGGGUUCAAAUCCCACUCCUGACA